rnacentral:rRNA from 1 species
UACAGAGACUGCAAGCGUUAUUCGGAUUCACUGGGCGUAAAGGGUGCGCAGGCGGCCGUGUGUGUGAGGCGUGAAAGCCCGGGGCUCAACCCCGGAAUUGCACCUCAAACUACAUGGCUAGAGCAUUGGAGAGGGAAGCGGAAUUCACGGUGUAGCAGUGAAAUGCGUAGAUAUCGUGAGGAACACCAGAGGCGAAGGCGGCUACCUGGACAAUUGCUGACGCUCAGGCACGAAAGCGUGGGGAGCAAAAGGG